AUGUGGGUUGCCCAGAUUAUCGAAGAAUUCCAGAAGUGCCAUGUGGAUCACCCCAUCAAAAAAUUCUUUGGUGAAUGCACAGAUCUUAAGAUUAAGCUUGAUCGGUGCUUCCGGCAGGAGAAAGCUGUGAAGAGAAAGGCAAACUUUGAAGAGAGCAUGAAAUUUAAAGAAAGGUUGCAGGCUUAUAAAAAGGAAAUGGCUGAGAAAGAAAAUGAAUCGUAG
rnacentral:rRNA from 1 species